CCUAUACCACCAUCCAUUCAAAUUCUUACUAGAACAAGGCAUGAUGGCCUCAACCCAGAUCAGGUAGUCCAUCUCCGUCGUAUUGUCACAUCCCGACCCUUAUAUUUUUACCUUAUUUACUAGCGUGAUUAUAAUAAGAAUUUUACCGUCCCGAUCUUUGAGUAAAUAGUUUAAUUGGUCUCUAGAGGGGUUUCGGGGACGAUUAUGUGCGGAGGAUAAUUCGUAUGGGGAAAAUACGACGACGGUAAAAAUAGUAAAUUUUAGCUAGUAAAAGGUAAUUUUUAUUCGGGUAUUAUUUUUCGGGGUGUUGAAUUUUGGAAUUUUGGGUUAAAAGGGGUGUUGGGUCGGCUGGGCCGAGCCCAACCCAUUUCUUCUUCUUUUCUCUUCUCCCUCUCUCCCGAUUUUCUUUCCUCCCACCCGGUUUUCUCCUCUCUACACCCAGAAGACUUCCAGCCGUCCUCCCGCCGCCGUCCGGCCACCAACCGCCGCCGCACCGGUCCCGUUCGGUCGACCUCCAACCCAGCAACCUCCCUGGACCGGUGAGAGAGCUCCGCCGUGAGUGAGCGGUGCCACCCGUAAGGUCCGACUGUCCAAACCUUCACUUCGCCGGAACUUCCUCCUCCGGCCACCAAUCCGGGCAAGCUUGGUACGGUUUUGUAGCCCUCCUCCCGUGCAACAACCCCUCCAAACAGCUCCCUCCCUCUUGAGCUAGGUAAGGAGAAAUUUGAGGUGGAAGUUUUAUGGUGUUUAAGUUGUUUUCGUUCGAUUAGCCUAGUUAGGCUUGGAAUUGGGUGAUGUGUUAGUCAUGAAAGUUGUAGAGGAGAUUGAGAGGAAGAUUCUGUUAAAAUUUGGUAGCAUUUGCAGGUCGCCGGAAAACGGCUGCCGACCGCCGCUGCCGGCUAGGAGAUUUUUAGGGUUUUAAAUGUGGAAUAUUAAGAGGAGUAUAUUGGUGUGAUUUAUGGAAUUU
rnacentral:lncRNA from 1 species